UUUGAGGAGGAGAACUGUGGGGACCUUCGUGCUCUCUGAACCUGGCUGUUUUCCUGCAGACGGUUCAUUACCCAAACUAGGUAACAUCUGCAA